rnacentral:rRNA from 1 species
UACGGGGGGGGCAAGCGUUGUUCGGAAUUACUGGGCGUAAAGGGCGCGUAGGCGGCCUUCUAAGUCGGACGUGAAAUCCCUCGGCUCAACCGAGGAACUGCGUCGAUACUGAAAGGCUUGAAUCCGGGAGAGGGAUGUGGAAUUCCAGGUGUAGCGGUGAAAAUGCGCAGAUAGUCAGGAGGAACACCGGUGGCGGAAGGCGGGGUCUCUGG